UCCGCUGUAGUGUAGGGGUUAACAUUCCGCGUUUUCACCGCGGCGCCCCGGGUUCGAUUCCCGGCAGCGGAG
rnacentral:tRNA from 1 species